UCAGGUUGUAAAUGGCAGCUGCUAGCUGUUAGUUUCUUUACAGGUUGUAUUCACACUUGCUGCAACUACAAAGACUAAAGUUUCCUCCAUGUGCCAGCUGAAAGUGUGUUCAAAGACAGCAGCUGUGUGCUGCCAUGUGAUGUGCUAGCCGAAACUAUGUUGAUUGCAAGCUGGAAAGAUAGCUGCACAUGUGUGCUAGACUGUCCAAAGUUCAUAUGAUCUGUUUGUGUGUGCUAUUGUGUUUAUUUUAUUAAAAGCACUUGAGUGGUCCUUCAUUUUCUGCUUGUAUAAAUAAGCCUCCCGUAAGGCUUUAGGAUGAGUCUCUGAUUUGUCAUUCCAUGUCAGAAGUGUUUGCAAAUUGUUUUAAAUAUAUCAAAGUGCAUUGUUUGCCGAAGCUUGUAGCUUCCCUCCUUUCUCUAUUUCUUUGUCCAAUUUUAUUGAGAGUGCAAAGUGAGAGGUGUGAUAGAGUUUGUAAACUUAUCACCCAUAUAUUUUGGUAUUGAGUUAGUAAACUUCUCAAUACCAACAAUUUUGGUUUGGAGAGUGAAAAAUCUCUAGUCGAAGAAACAGUUUAUUUCAGGAGUAUAGUUGAAUAUUCUUCCGCCAUUGAUGACUGUGCAACUAAGUUUCUAGCAGGAAUUUCUAAUGUUAGAAUCUAUCUCUUACGGUUUCAAUUUUUGAGGCUUCGUGUUUGCCUACUUUUGAAAAUCUGAUUCAACUCGAGCUGAAUUUUAGUGGUCGGAAGAUCAAAGAUACUGUCAUUCAGCAAGGCUUAUGCCACUCAUCAUCCAUUGGACAACAAAUGGUUUGAGGAACAUGAGCAUAAAUGGAAUGUGAGCAAUAAUCCACCAGACAUCGUGCCUCUUUGUUUGUUGUCACAUCUCCAGACCAUCUCCAUAAGGUGUUUCAAGGGUCAGCGAGAUGAGAUGGAAGUUGCUAAAUACUUUUUGAAGAAUGGCAAAGUUUUAAAUAAGAUGACUAUUCAUACACUUCUCCUAGAACACAUAAAUUUUUGUGUUCGGAAGAUGAGAUGUGCAGGAAAAUCUCAACAUUUGAAAAGGGUUCAAUGACUUGUCAAGUUGAAUUUGUAAAGAUGGGUGAUAGAUACUAGAGGGGGUCAAAGGACGUGUUAUUGCUGCUAAACAAUUUUCUCUGUUGAUUGAAGAUGCUCUUUUUCUUGUG